rnacentral:lncRNA from 1 species
GCUGGUGGUGGGUUGGAGAUUUGAUGGUGGCCGGAGGUUUGGUGGUGGUUUUGGUGGCUGGUAGGCGGUAGCAGCGGCUUUUGGUGGUGGCGGUGAGGUUGUCGAAAUCCGAUGGUGCUCGCCGGAUUUUAGUGCGGCUAAGGGAAGGAAGAAGAGAGAGAAAAUAGAGAGGAAGGAGAAAGUCGUAUGUUGUAUGUGUAUUGUGGUGCUUGUGUG